rnacentral:rRNA from 1 species
UUUGACAUGUACGGAAUCCUUUAGAGAUAGAGGAGUGCUCGAAAGAGAGCCGUAACACAGGUGCUGCAUGGCUGUCGUCAGCUCGUGUCGUGAGAUGUUGGGUUAAGUCCCGCAACGAGCGCAACCCUUGUCAUUAGUUGCUACAUUCAGUUGGGCACUCUAAUGAGACUGCCGGUGACAAGCCGGAGGAAGGUGGGGAUGACGUCAAGUCCUCAUGGCCCUUAUAGGUGGGGCUACACACGUCAUACAAUGGCUGGUACAAAGGGUUGCCAACCCGCGAGGGGGAGCUAAUCCCACAAAGCCAGUCGUAGUCCGGAUCGUAGUCUGCAACUCGACUACGUGAAGUCGGAAUCGCUAGUAAUCGUGGAUCAGAAUGUCACGGUGAAUACGUUCCCGGGUCUUGUACACACCGCCCGUCACACCAUGGGAGCGGGUUCUGCCAGAAGUAGUUAGCUUAACCGCAAGGAGGGCGAUUACCACGGCAGGGUUCGUGACUGGGGUGAAGUCGUAACAAGGUAGCCGU